AACAGCAAGUUGUGAUACAGCAGCAUCAGGCGUCAGUACAGCAACCCCCAGUGGAACAAUAUCAGCAUCAGACUCCGCAACAGCAGGCACAGCAAAUAUAUUUGCAACAAAUGUCUGAAUCACAAGAGCAGAACAUGGUAAAGACAUUGAUACAACAGCCGCCAGUACUUCAAACAAUCCAACAACCAUUGCAAUUGACGGAGCAACAACAACAGCAACUUCUGAUUAGGCAAAAAAUGGAGCAGCAACAGAAAGCUGUUUUGCAAAGUCAAAUGGAGAAACAACAUCAACAGCAAGUUUAUAUUCAGCCACCACAACAGCAGCAAGUUGAGCAGCAACAAAUUCUUCUGCAGCAACAACAAAACUUGGCUGUACAGCAACAGAUUGAGCAGCAGCAACAAGCGUUACAACAACAAAAGCAAAUAGAACAGCAGCAAAAGGCUAUUUUACAGCAACAGGUGGAACAGCAAAGACAACAGCAACAGGCUUUGUUUCAGCAACAGCAAUUGGAGCAACAACAAGCAUUAUUGCAGCAGCAGCAGCGUGAACAACAACAGGCUCUUCUGCAGCAACAACAAUUAGAACAGCAAGCUUUGCUACAACAACAGCAGCAACUCCAAUUAAAGCAGCAACAAGCUCUUUUACAUCAGCAACAUUUAGAGCAGCAGCAGCAGGCUUUAUUUAAACAGCAGCAGCAUCAACAAAAGUUGGAGCAACAGCAAGCUCUUUUACAAAAGCAGCAGCAACAAGCUCUCAUUCAGCAGCAGCAACAGUUAGAGCAAAAAGUAUUACAGCUCCAACAGCAGCAACAAAUUGAACAUCAACAAACUUUAUUAAGCCAGCAGCAGCAGUCUCAGCAGAUAGAGCAACAUGUUCUUCAGCAACAGCUGCAGCUACAGAAGCCGACAGAUCAACAGUUACAACAGCAGAUAUUUCAACAGCAGACCGAUCAGCAACAACAGACAUUGCUACAACAAAGAGAGUCACAUAUGCAGCAACACCUCCUGAUGCAACAACACCAGAUUGAAUUACAGCGACAACUAUCCGAAAAACAACUGCAACAAGUUUUAUUACAACAACAACAUUUGGAGCAACGUGCUCCUCUGGCAGAUCACAGCGGACAACAGCAAGCAACCCUAGUGAAAGCACAGCCUCCAGAGAUGAUCAAGCAAACUAGUCAAAUUCAGCACUCUCAACAAAUGAUUCCCCCACAACCUCAGCCUUAUCUUGCUCAACAACAAACUGAGCAGC
ensembl:lncRNA